GCAGCCAACUAAGUUUCCAGUCGCAUCUGGGUGAUUAAUGACGAUCGCUCUACUCGGGCUGUUGCGAUGAAGAACCGAGAUAAGAGCCAGCUUUAAGCGGGGAAAAAUUGUCGUAUACGCGGGUAGGCUGUGAUCGGUAGAUAAACAUUUUCUACAUCGUAUAAUUCAAUGUUGGCGCAGUAUUUUAAAGUAAAUGUCUAUCCACCCGGAGCACACGAAGGACGUGUGUCAACGUGCUCACCGCGGUCGCCGAUAACAACCGAAUUCACAAGUUGUAGAGUUGAUUAGGUCAACUGAAGAUGGCGAAACGAAAGGUGAAAGAUCAACGCGGGGGGAUUCUCAAAUCGGAGUCUUCGAUUCGACGAUGAGUAGCGUGCAGCUGGAUUGCAGGUGAUUGGAAAAGGUGCGAAAUCCGGGAUAAUGGCAGCUAUAUAUGAUUCGGGGGCGAAAGUAGUAAAGAAGGUAGGCACGUGGCACAUAACGUGGCAAGUGUAUUCAACACAUGGCGAAAUGCCGCGUAGGCCGAUUACACGCGCGACGAAUGUAUAGAGCCUACUCGCCACGCGCGAUGUACUUGUCGUUGAAAUGCUGAGUUUAAUCUUCGAUACGUUCUUGCGGUUCUUGGUUUUAAUUGAUUAGGUGACCCCGAGAAGCAAAACAUGUCAUACUAUAACAUCCGUUCAAGCCGUAGCAUUUGCCGUAGAGUGGCUUCUAGACGUAUCGAAAAUCAUCUAGGUAUAUGCCAGAUGCGUAGUGUUCGGCAGAUUUGAUAAAUGCGACUAGCCGGCCAUCGGAUUGAUCGGCUCGCUUGUCGGUGCACUUUUGAACGCGUUAAUUAUGACGUCUGCAACUAUACUAUUUAGGAUUUUAUAUUUUCAGUACACAUGCUCAACAGAGCUAAUCUGCGAAUGAGAAAAAUUUGAGAAAGCACAAUUAUACAUAUAGAUCAUAUCAACAACGCUGAACGUCUUUAUUGUUGCAACAGUUCAACACGAUUAUAAUUGAGGCAUACCAGUGUCGAUAUCACCAUGAUCUACGAUGACGUGAAUUCCGACGCCCUCUUCUCGUAGGGAUAAUAAAUAAGAUCCGCCUAAAAAAAAUCGGUUAUUCUCACACAUUCCAAAAGUAAGACAUCCAAGUACGAGUGUACACCCAAAGUACGACUCGUAGUCACUUACAUAUACCUAUACCGCAUCUACUUCUUUCAAAUACCUAUUUUAUAUACUUUGAUAUAUAUAUGUACAUACACCAUUAACGUUUGUACACUAAACCGAAAGGCCAUUUAAUAAAUAUUGUACUAUGUAUCAAUAAAAUUGGACUAAUAAAUU